UUCCCAAUAGUUUGUAUUGGUCCUGAAACUUACAUACCAAGAGCUCUGCAACCUAAUAAAGCUAGCUUUGUGGGUUCUGAUAAAAUUUGGUUCUCCAGUGUUAUAACUGUUGCUGUAUUGUUUUCACAGAGUGGAUCAUACACCUCACAAAACUAUGGUGGUAGCCAGCAGAGUGGAUCAUCAUCCUCACAAAAUUAUGGUGGUGGUCGGGGUGGUUCAUCCUCACAAAACUAUGGUGGCAGCAAAGGUGGAUCGGGUGGAUCCUCUUCUCAAAACUAUUAUGGCGGCCAAGUAAGUAAUGCUUUAUUUCAGCAAUUAUACAUCACUUCAUACAAGCUUUAGCCUCUGCUCAAAAUUGGGUUUUCUGUUUGCUAGUUUUCUCUGAUUUUUGAUUGGAUUUUUUUUUUUUAAG
rnacentral:lncRNA from 1 species